CCGAGUUUUCGAGCUCCGGCUCGACUCUCCCACCCUUUGUGAACGUACCUCUGUUGCUUUGGCGGCUCCGGCCGCCAAAGGACCUUCAAACUCCAGUCAGUAAACGCAGACGUCUGAUAAACAAGUUAAUAAACUA
rnacentral:misc_RNA from 1 species